UUUCGUUUAUGAACCGUUUACAGUUGUAGGUGUGCCCAUCGACCGUCACCCUUAUUUAUUUAUAUGAUUAUAAAGAUUACAGUAUAAGUACGUUUUAAUGCUUACUCGGUAAUCUUACAUCUUCAGCAGAUUAUACGAUGCCUUUGCAUGGAAGAAACGAAAGCUGUUCCAAGUCAACUUGAUAGCAGUUCGCAUUUUUCGGGAAGAAGGGACUGGACGAAAAACAAAAUGCACAAGCAAAUUUUAACAUGAACACAUCAAUCACUUAUCAGAAACCAGUUUUUUAUCAACACAUUCAAAGAGAAAUAUGCUGGAAAGCCUUGAGGCAUUUUGUACAUAGCAAUUGUAAAUGAAGGUUUCAUUCUGCACAUUUGGAUAAAAUGUAAGCUUUUCAUUUUUUUUUUUUUUAAGAUGGUUCAAUAGUUAACUCAUUACACCUUCUUAAACACCAUGAUAAUUUAUUAACUGUGUGGUAUUUUUGCCAAGAAUUUCGCCAAACGGAAUGGAUGUGCCUAUCAAACCUUUCAAAUGUGUCUUAUGUGAUCGUGCAUAUGUGAUAGAUGCAUCACUGGCAGCACACAAGAUGAUAGAGCACAAAGAAGAUCCUCCUCAUAAGUGUCCUGUUUGUGGUUUGGCCUUUUUUAAUGCAAGCACAUACUCUACUCAUCUAAUCAAACAUUCUCUGGACAAGGAGAAGGAUUUUGGUUAUGAAUGCUGUGUUUGUUCUGUGGAGUUCCCUUCUUCACAGGGUUUGAGGGUCCAUAUGAGCCAUCACUCUGGUGCAACCAUCAUUAGUAAAGGAAAGCCACCACAGAAAAACCCCAAAUUUUAUAACUGUGACUUGUGUCCUUCUAUGUUUCGUGAUCCACAGCGAUUAGAAGAACACAAGAAAAGCCAUGAUGGAAACAGACCAUAUGAAUGUCAGUUUUGUCACAUUACUUUCAGGCUUGGCAGUCGUCUAAAUGUUCAUGUGCGGCGACAUCAUGUUUCUGAAUAUUUAACUUGGAAACACUACAAGUGCAACUAAUUUUAUUUAAUGAUACAAGUUUUGUAGGACCUUUUUUGACCACAACGUACUGUUAGUGCCCUUUUUCUAAUUAGUUCCUAAACCUUGUUUGUGCAAGUUUCACAUUAUGCAUUUAUCAUUAUUCCUGAGAUUUAUGUAAGGUCUAUGCAUUUAAACAUAUUGUUGGCAGAUAUAAAUUCCUAGUCGACAUCAGAUUCUGGAAUGAGCACAGCAAUCAUGACAAUUUUUGUCUAAACAUGUCAUAGUGAAAUCUCUGGUUUUUGAAGAGUUUGUCCAUGAGGUCUUGUCAGGCAUUUUAGCAUGUAAGACAGUAGUUAGUCAAUAACUUCUGUCUUAAGUCACUAAGCUUAGUUUAUGACUUUUAAUUCAGUUUGUGCAAUGUUCCUUGACCUAGUGACUUAAGUCAUUUUGUGGUGUUUAUCCAUAAUUCUGGCUACCUGCAUCAGUUAUUUUGUAAGUUAUAAAUACAUUUACUUCUGAUUUUUAGCAUUUUACGUUCUCUUUUUUCUUUGAUCUUUGCAUUUAAUAGUGUUACAUUUGUGUGCAGAAGAGGAGCUUGAAACAUGUUCUAUAAUUAUUAGCUUCACCCAAGUUUUAGGCCUUUGCGAUGUAGAGCUAUGCUUUCUAUACACUGAUCACUCGCACAGUUUCCUCUUGCAGUCCUUGAAAUGGCUGGAGCAAUAAUUGCAUCAUCUGCCUUAUGCCCCUAACACUAUUCUGUAUGUUUCCUUUUUAAAUUUAGCUGUCAUUGUCAUUGUCAUGGAAAUGACUAUAGCUUCAUUUUAAAUGAAGUUUUUUUUUUAAGUUUCUUGUUUCAGAAUAACUGGUAUUGCUUGUUUGUUAAAACCUGUUAUCCAAAACAAUAAACUAUGUUUUAAGAGUCA